rnacentral:rRNA from 1 species
UACGUAGGGUGCAAGCGUUGUCCGGAAUUAUUGGGCGUAAAGAGCUUGUAGGCGGUUUGUUGCGUCUGCUGUGAAAACUCGGGGCUUAACCCCGGGCCUGCAGUGGGUACGGGCAGACUAGAGUGCGGUAGGGGAGACUGGAAUUCCUGGUGUAGCGGUGAAAUGCGCAGAUAUCAGGAGGAACACCGGUGGCGAAGGCGGGUCUCUGGGCCAUAACUGACGCUGAGGAGCGAAAGCGUGGGGAGCGAACAGG